rnacentral:rRNA from 1 species
GACGAACGCUGGCGGCGUGCUUAACACAUGCAAGUCGAACGGAAAGGCCCUGCUUUUGUGGGGUGCUCGAGUGGCGAACGGGUGAGUAACACGUGAGUAACCUGCCCUUGACUUUGGGAUAACUUCAGGAAACUGGGGCUAAUACCGGAUAGGAGCUCCUGCUGCAUGGUGGGGGUUGGAAAGUUUCGGCGGUUGGGGAUGGACUCGCGGCUUAUCAGCUUGUUGGUGGGGUAGUGGCUUACCAAGGCUUUGACGGGUAGCCGGCCUGAGAGGGUGACCGGCGACAUUGGGCCUGAGAUACGGCCCAGUCUCCUACGGGAGACAGCAGUGGGGAGUAUUGCACAAUGGGCGGAAGCCUGAUGCAGCAGCGCCGCGUGCGGGAUGACGGCCUUCGGGUUGUAAACCGCUUUCGCCUGUGACGAAGCGUGAGUGACGGUAAUGGAUAAAGAAGCACCGGCUAACUACGUG